rnacentral:lncRNA from 1 species
ACCCUAACCAAAUUCUGUGCCUCUCUUCCUUGCCUUCCCUUUGCAAUGGCCUACAAGAAAUGUAGAACAUUUUACCAAGAUCAAUGAGAAGGUAAGGUGACACACUAUGCAUAAAUUGAACAAAAGGUUCACACAAAAUCAUAACCAUAGUGAUAGCAAAUUGCACACAUAUAUUGCGACAAAUACAAUCAACCAGGGUAUACGUCUCACUUGAUUGUUUAAGUCUAAAUUGUAAAGCUACAAGAGAGCAAAUAAUCUCUUCUCUCUUGGCAUUAUCAUAUAGAUUAGGUCUUAAGGAAACAUGAACAGUGAACACAUCUGAAUAAGGUACUGUUUAAUUGCUUGUUAGUCAAUCACUAAGAAAAGAUAUGAAUUCUGCAAGAAAUUGACAAGCCAUCCUUUUCCUGCAAUAAAAGAGCAUAAUAAAUCCAAAAUUAUGAAAAAUAUACAUCUGGUAGAACUGUCAGGUUUAACAUUUUAAGAACCAUUUUCAUGAUAUUUUGAUCCAUGUUCAAUUAUAAGCAACCUGUUAGGUGCGGAUGAAAAAAUGGUUUCAUCACCAAACUAGUACUAAAAAUAAUAUUUCCCACAAAGGAAGCUUGUCACCUAGCUAUAACAGCACUGCCAAGGGCUAAUAGCUCUCCAUAUCUACCGGAGUUGAAUGAUUCGAUCUUUUGAAGUUGGGGUUCCCGAUAAAGUUUGAUGGGCUGAUUGACUUGAUUCCUAGCAACAGCUCGAUACAAAUUCACUCAUGCCUUGCAUCAAAUUGUGCGCUCUUAAGGAUGUUUGCAUUAGAACUAGAAAUAGGAAGCCCCUACAAAUGGCUGGCUAAGAUUAUUGUAUGCUUAUACCUUAAUUAUUACAGUAUAUUGUGCAUUAACUUAGUUUGUCCCCCAAGCAAUCCCACAUCAAAACAGUUAAACUUCAGCUUAAUGGGGAUGGAUUCUCAGAACUAUGCAACUUCCAUUUUUAGCUGCAUUUUUAUUUGGCCUAGUUGUUCUCUGGCCUUUCAUAACUACAGUUUGAUCAAGAAAACUGAUGUAUGAAGGAUUUUCAGAUCAUCUUUUAUCAUCAAGUCUUGUAUUUCACUAGAAAAUUACUUAAGAUAUUCUCUGGAACCCACAAAAUAUGUUUGUAUACAAUGCCAAUGAGGAUAAAUGUACGACACGUACUCUGGAACUUAACAAGCAGAUUUAUUUUCCUAUCUAUAAU